GGCUCCGUGGCGCAAUGGAUAGCGCAUUGGACUUCUAGCGGAGGGAGACAUUCAAAGGUUCCGGGUUCGAGUCCCGGCGGAGUCG
rnacentral:tRNA from 1 species